rnacentral:rRNA from 1 species
GACGAACGCUGGCGGCGUGCCUAAUACAUGCAAGUCGAACGAACUCUGGUAUUGAUUGGUGCUUGCAUCAUGAUUUACAUUUGAGUGAGUGGCGAACUGGUGAGUAACACGUGGGAAACCUGCCCAGAAGCGGGGGAUAACACCUGGAAACAGAUGCUAAUACCGCAUAACAACUUGGACCGCAUGGUCCGAGUUUGAAAGAUGGCUUCGGCUAUCACUUUUGGAUGGUCCCGCGGCGUAUUAGCUAGAUGGUGGGGUAACGGCUCACCAUGGCAAUGAUACGUAGCCGACCUGAGAGGGUAAUCGGCCACAUUGGGACUGAGACACGGCCCAAACUCCUACGGGAGGCAGCAGUAGGGAAUCUUCCACAAUGGACGAAAGUCUGAUGGAGCAACGCCGCGUGAGUGAAGAAGGGUUUCGGCUCGUAAAACUCUGUUGUUAAAGAAGAACAUAUCUGAGAGUAACUGUUCAGGUAUUGACGGUAUUUAACCAGAAAGCCACGGCUAACUACGUGCCAGCAGCCGCGGUAAUACGUAGGUGGCAAGCGUUGUCCGGAUUUAUUGGGCGUAAAGCGAGCGCAGGCGGUUUUUUAAGUCUGAUGUGAAAGCCUUCGGCUCAACCGAAGAAGUGCAUCGGAAACUGGGAAACUUGAGUGCAGAAGAGGACAGUGGAACUCCAUGUGUAGCGGUGAAAUGCGUAGAUAUAUGGAAGAACACCAGUGGCGAAGGCGGCUGUCUGGUCUGUAACUGACGCUGAGGCUCGAAAGUAUGGGUAGCAAACAGGAUUAGAUACCCUGGUAGUCCAUACCGUAAACGAUGAAUGCUAAGUGUUGGAGGGUUUCCGCCCUUCAGUGCUGCAGCUAACGCAUUAAGCAUUCCGCCUGGGGAGUACGGCCGCAAGACUGAAACUCAAAGGAAUUGACGGGGGCCCGCACAAGCGGUGGAGCAUGUGGUUUAAUUCGAAGCUACGCGAAGAACCUUACCAGGUCUUGACAUACUAUGCAAAUCUAAGAGAUUAGACGUUCCCUUCGGGGACAUGGAUACAGGUGGUGCAUGGUUGUCGUCAGCUCGUGUCGUGAGAUGUUGGGUUAAGUCCCGCAACGAGCGCAACCCUUAUUAUCAGUUGCCAGCAUUAAGUUGGGCACUCUGGUGAGACUGCCGGUGACAAACCGGAGGAAGGUGGGGAUGACGUCAAAUCAUCAUGCCCCUUAUGACCUGGGCUACACACGUGCUACAAUGGAUGGUACAACGAGUUGCGAACUCGCGAGAGUAAGCUAAUCUCUUAGAGCCAUUCUCAGUUCGGAUUGUAGGCUGCAACUCGCCUACAUGAAGUCGGAAUCGCUAGUAAUCGCGGAUCAGCAUGCCGCGGUGAAUACGUUCCCGGGCCUUGUACACACCGCCCGUCACACCAUGAGAGUUUGUAACACCCAAAGUCGGUGGGGUAACCUUUUAGGAACCAGCCGCCUAAGGUGGGACAGAUGAUUAGGGUG